rnacentral:misc_RNA from 1 species
GGCUGCUAAUCUGGUGGAACUCUCAAGCCGAAGUGAUCUAAAAUGUGUAGCUGAACAGCCAGAUAUUAUUUUAUUGGUCAGUUGCUUGUUGGAGCGACUUCGUGGUGCUGCUAGUGCGACAGAACCUCGAACACAGAGAGCUAUUUAUGAGAUGGGUUAUUCAGUACUAAAUCCACUCUUGAUGUUUAUGGAAGUUUACAAACAUGAGUCCACAGUUGUGUAUCUGUUACUCAGAUUUGUGGUUGAUUGGGUGGAUGGACAAAUCAUUUACCUAGAAGCUCGUGAAACGGCUAUUGUUGUCGGAUUCUGUAUGCGCGUACUUCAGCUUUACUCUUCCCAUAAUAUCGGCAAGAUAUCUCUGAGCAUUUCAAGCAGCUUGCGGAGUGAAG